CCCGCACAAGCGGUGGAGCAUGUGGUUUUAAUUCGAUGAUACGCGAGGAACCUUACCUGGGCUCAAAUGUAUGUUGACGUAUUCUGAAAGGGAUACUUCUUCGGACAAUAUACAAGGUGCUGCAUGGUUGUCGUCAGCUCGUGCCGUGAGGUGUCGGGUUAAGUCCCAUAACGAGCGCAACCCUUGUCCUUAGUUACCAGCACGUUAUGGUGGGCACUCUAAGGAGACUGCCGGUGACAAACCGGAGGAAGGUGGGGAUGACGUCAAGUCAUCAUGGCCCUUACGGCCUGGGCUACACACGUGCUACAAUGGUCGGUACAAAGGGUUGCCAAGCCGCGAGGUGGAGCUAAUCCCAUAAAACCGAUCGUAGUCCGGAUCGCAGUCUGCAACUCGACUGCGUGAAGUCGGAAUCGCUAGUAAUCGUGAAUCAGAAUGUCACGGUGAAUACGUUCCCGGGCCUU
rnacentral:rRNA from 1 species